GGAGGGGCGGGGCCGACGGGGCGGAGCUGAACGGCCGGACCGGACUGGCUGCCGGGAGCGGAAGUGGGAUUCGAAGCGGGAAGGCGGGACCUGAGGCUCGCGGUGGCCGAACUGGCGGCGCUCGGGGCUGCAGCGGCCGGCGCCGAGCGGUCUUACAAGUUCAUCUGUGAGCACAAACGACAAGGUGCCCAACUGUUCAAGUUUUCUUAUCUGCGCUAAGGGUCCACGCAAGCGGCCUCAGUGAAAAACCUGUCAAAAGCGUAAGUCCUUCGAGCCGGAUUCGAACCAGCGACCUAAGGAUGACCAUGUCUGAACAUCUACAGUCCUCCGCUCUACCAACUGAGCUAUCGAAGGAUUGGUGGAAAAAAUGGAGGCACCUGGGUGGCUAAGUUGUUAAGCGUCUGCCUUCGGCUCAGGUCAUGAUCCCAGGGUCCUGGGAUCGAGCCCCAUGCCGGGCUCCCUGCUCCACGGGAAGCCUGCUUCUCCCUCUUCCACUCCCCCUGCUUGUGUUCCCUCUCUGGCUGUGUCUCUCUGUCAAUUGAAUAAAUAAAAUCUUUAAAAAAAUAAAGGAAAAAA